GCUUGAUGAGGGAAAAAACGAUUUAAUCUAUUUUAGAAUUAGGCUGUUGCGUAACAAAAUGUGGACGAAGUCAAGGGGUCUGAAUACUUUCCAAAUGCACUGUACACACACACAAAGUGUAUGUCCAACUCAGAGGUCAAUUUAAUUUCUCCCCCAACCCCCUCAAUCUGGUUCAGGAACACACACUGUCCCACAUCCAGUCUUCCCAUGGUUCAGUGUGGAUUCCUGAGAACUUGACCAGUCAUUAGGGGAGUUAUGACAGGCAUGCAAAGAUAGGAAGUGGUAAUUUUGGUGACUCAGCUAAGGCAUGAGCGAUUGUGUUCUGCUAGCUGCUCACUCUGUUUUUGCUCUCUCUGACUCAUCUGGAUAUCUGUAAUCUUCUUGGGUGGGGAUGCUGUUUGAGUGGGUCAUUCAGCUAUGUGUGUGGGCAGGGAACCGGUCUCACUCAUUGUGAUGAAACUGACCCAUUUCAGAUGGAUGGAGUCUGUCUGUUGUUCUUUGUGUUCAGAGGGUCUGGGUUCUUAAGAGGACCAGGAGGGAGUGAGUGAAUGGAGAUGGUGAGAUGGCUUUUCAACAGUCUGAUGGCCUGGAGAUAGAAGCUGUACUGUCUUUGUCUGCUAGAUGGUAGCAGAGUGAACAGACCAUGACUUGGGUGGCUGAGGUCCUUGAUGAUCAUCUUGGCCUUCCUUUGACAUCGAGUGCUGUCCUACAGGGCAGGCAGCAUGCACCCUGGCACCACUCUGCCAGAGCUCUAACCUCCUCCUGUCAGGAAAGGUGGAGGUUGUAAUGCAACAAAAUAGGAAAAAUGCCAAGGUGGAUGAAUACUUUUGCAAGGCACUGUAUGGGCCUUGACUAGCCUCUAAAAGCACUUCAUGAUGACAGAGUGUCUGUUUACAACGUGUGUUGGAGAAAAGAAGAGGAGAAGAUCGGAGAGAAGUAUAGUGGCGGAACGGUCACUCUCUCCUGCAGGGCAUGUAGGAUUGAGAUGGAUGAGACAGAGGUGAGAUGAACUACCCUGUUUGAAAUGAUCUUGUGAGGACACUGAGACAGAAGCAAGACUUCUUAGUUAGAUCCCACCGGCUCAGCCUGUCUCAUACUGUACCUUGGCAGGUGGGAAUGCAAUCAUUUCGUUUGAACUAUAGUAUGUAUUACUGUGUGUACAUUUCACUUUUCAGGCAUUAUAAAAAAGAUCAUAUCUGGGUAUCACAAGGAUAUGAUAUCAUUAAUUGACAAGUGCAUUUUGGUUUAGAAAAAUAUUUGAUUGAAAGGAUCCACCCAGAGGACCUCAAAGCAUUGAAAUCAAAUACUUAAAUUCUAUAUUUUUUAAACACUUUUUUUUAAUGUAUUCCCUGGUUUAGUGUACUAUUGCCUUUAUCCUAUAUGUAAUAUGAUGGACUGUAUAUAUCCCUUCCAUACACAGACCAAAAUACCAAAUAUGUACCAUGCCAGCUUUUUCAUAGAUCUGAAAGGGUGUAAAAAACAUGGUCAAUUAAAAUCCACCUAAAGACCUAGUCAUGGGGCGGCAGGUAGCCUAGUGGUUAGAGCGUUGGGCCAGGAACCGAAAGGUUGCUAGAUCGAAUCCCCGAGCUGACAAGGUAAAAAUCUGUCGUUCUGCCACUGAACAAGGCAGUUAACCCACUGUUCCUAGGCCGUCAUUGUAAAUAGGAAUUUGUUCUUAACUGACUUGCUUAGUUAAAUAAGACAGACCCUGUAACCGAAAUACAGGUAUUGGGUAUGUGUGAAUGGUUCCCUGCUUUUUUGUAAGUCAAUUCAUCAACACUUCUAUUGUUUAACACCUCCCUAAUUUGAAAUGCAAACAGCAGUGGUUUAAAAAAUGUGUAUAAUACAGUGGAGGCUGCUGAGGGGAGGACAGCUCAUAAUAAUGGCUGGAAGGGAGCGAAUGGAAUGGCAUCAAACACAUAGAAACCACGUGUUUGAUGUAUUUGACACCAUUCCACUAAUUCCACUUCUGCUAUUACCACAAGCUUGUCCUCCCCAAUUAAGGUGCCACCAACCUCCUGUGGUAUAAUAGCGGUAUACCUGCAAAUAAGUGAUAAAUAAGGGGCUGUUUGAAAGGGGGUCAUAUAAACAUUGCCUUAUAUUUUUUACAGGUUGGUGUUUUUUUUGUUAUUUCCUGUGUGAUCGUGUCAUGUGGCUCUUCAUAACUUGUCCUUUCCUGACACUCAGGGGACCCUGUCAAUUAGCUGUAUUCUGUUUAUAUUUCCUCCCGUUAGAACACCUGGCAAACAAUUACUCUACUGUUAAAGCAGGAGGGAGUUUUUGGACAAAGCACCUCAUAGCUCCCAAGUGAUGACAUGGAUCUGUUAAAUGGCUCUAAAGCGGUUUUUGUGUUAAAAAAGAGAGCCUCUUUGCAGACUUUUGUCUUUGAAAGGCAUUGCCUGAGGCUCAACUACUACGAGGCUGCCUGUUAAUGACUUGUCAAGAGAGGGAGGGGAACAGCUGGAGACAGGAGAUCAUGCUAAGCUCUGCUGGGUUUUCCUCAUUGAAGUUGUGAUUCCUCGGUUGUUGAGGGCGAUUUGUUGAAAUCCUUGAUGUCUCAAAAUGGUUCUGUACCUUUAACAUAACAACAAUAAAUUCUUUGAAACUAAGAACGUUGUCUGACUUGAGUUUUUUGUUUUAUAUGGACAAAUAUAAAUGUUUUAAAUAAUUGGAAGAAGCAAAAAUUCCCCCUCAAGUGCCAAAAGGGCAAAAACAUUUUUCUCAUGAAUAGUGUCUAAAGGCUAACGUCUUCUGUAGUUGACAGGGAAUCACUCUUGACUUUGAGCUCAGUUCUGAAGUCCUUUGAAAUGAGAAUUAUGAAUUAGAUAGAGUGUUAAAAGUGAAUCUGACAGUGGUAGACAAGAGUAGUUGAGGUCAUGGACAGGGGUUCCCCAGGGGGUGAGAUUGGGUCAUGACCAAGGUUGUGACUGGGUGAGGUAGGGACAGCCACAGCUGGCUCUAGUAUAAUGCGGGGUAAGCAGUUAUCUAUCUAUCCCAGGCUAUAAAUGGGUUAUCUCCAGUACAGCAGAGUAGAGUGUCUUAUCGGGCACCUGGUAAUGCCCGACUCCUAUACAGUUUGUCUAUGAUAUGACGCUGAAGACAGCCUUAUACAAUAGACUCAUCUAUCACCAGGUAUAACUGAUGUUUUAUAGCCCAAGUUAAUUCUUAUUAGGACUGUUUUAUGGCUAAUUUGUGUCAUGGCAUGUUUCAAUGUUUAUGGCCAAAGUCCAGAAUUGAAGCAAAACUGGUUUAUCGGGUAAGGCAAUACAACAUCACGUAGGAUUUUGGGUGUUGUCAUUGGUCAGGCCUCAGAAUAUUAAUCAAUCAGUGAACUUUUAGACAGAACAUACCCUGGACACACCUGGCUCCACAUAACGUCACAGAGGGUAAUGAACAAGCACAAUUGCCCAAUAAAAUACUGUGUGGUUGCCUUAUUCAGUACGUGUUCAUUUUGAUUCAAUUGAGAUGCUUCUAUACAGCUUUUUAAACUAAUGUUUCUCAUGUUUCUUGAAUAUGGUAUUAGAUUAUUAGUGUUGCCGUAUAAUAGGGGAUUCAAGAGAAUUUGCGACUGUAUUUUGUUACUCUCAUUAUACUUCAUGGUCAAGAUGAUGAAGAAAAUGCUAGUUGUCAAGACAAUGUAUCUUUGCAUAACACUGUUUCCUUUUUACAUGAUUACAUCUUUCUGUGAUCCCUCUAACAACUCUGGUGACUCAGCGAAAAUACAGGAAGUUGUGUUACUUCCAUAGUUAUGUACUGUAUGUCUCUGAGAUUUCUGUACAGUUCCCUCCUUGCCCCUCUCCUUGCAAUGGACUCUCACCAAAUGACCAACUUCUAUCAGUUAACUGCUUGCUUAGCUAUGUUCAUUUGCAUCACAUACCUUUUUGUAUAAAUCAAC
rnacentral:lncRNA from 1 species